UGAAACUAUGCUAUUUACUGCAUCACAAACAAGUGAACACGAUAGCUUGAUACGAUGCAAGGAAUUGAAACAGUUUACAGAAGGCAGGUCUGUAACUGCAAGGAAUUGAUAUAAAGUUGCACCAAAUGAAUAAAGGAAGAAGAAGGGGUAUUGCUUUACCGCCUGGACGGGGUUUUUCAUUCAACCAAAACGAUUUCAGCAAAGGUAAUCUUUACUCAAUUGAUAAACAUAACGAAACAUAUAUUGAACAAAACAAUGCAGAACAAAGUCCAACGAAAGAGGAUACAACAACAAGGAAUCUAUUUAGGGGGGAUCGCAGAAGUUCAGCGUGCAGUAUGACUCUACCAUUGGGUCCGGAGAGAAGGAGAAAGAACUCGUUUCAAAUUGGUCGUCUCACGUCGAGCAGGAUUCAGGGACUUGUACAACAGGAUGAUAUUGAAAGUCAUUUUACCGUCAUACUUGGCUCGCCUGCCGUUGGAAAGACAG